AGAUGGCCACGUAAGGAUCCCGUUUUCAGCUGAGAGGAAUUGAUGAACAACACGUGGUCUUGAAAUUUUAGGACAGUUUUAAAAGAGGGAUUUGGGGUCUUUCUGAAACCCUAAAAUUGGAGCAGAUCGUGUUGCUUUGGGGGAUAUAGUAUUGAAUUCAUUGGCAGCCAAAAUUGAACUUUGAACAUCGUUGUAGGGUGAUGAAAAGUGGGAGCAGAGGGAUUUAUUGUACGCAGAGGAGUAGUGGUUCGAAAAUUUCGCAAACCUGUUCGUCGUCGUCGGAUAUGACAUCCAAACUGUGUGGGUGUGGGGAAAGAUUACUGCUCCUAAAGACAACGACUGUGAAGAACAAGGGAAGAUUAUUUUGGAGAUGUAGAAAAUGGGUUUCCAAUUCUCAUUGCAAUUUCUUUGAAUGGUUUAAUGAAGAGGAUUCUAAAUAUGAAGGGAACGCACCGGACUUUCAAGACAGUGGUAGAACACGAACUGAAGAAGAUGAAGUGUGUUUUGGAGAAGGAGAAAGUUAUAUUGGAGUUGAUAAGGAAAAAUGAGAAGUUGAAGGCGAAAUUGCAAGAAGAGAAAAAUUUUGGGAGAUUCCUGCAAGUUUUUUUCCUUUUGUAGUGGACAUUAACAGUUGUCUUUGUUUUUAUGUUGUUGUUCAAGUUCAAUUGCAACUAGUUUUUUAGUAAGUUCUAUUUAGCAGUGAUUAGUUAUGUAUGGAACUUUAAUGAUUAAGUAUGUUUGAGGUAACUUCUGGUGGGGAAGUGUUUUGUAUUUGUAAUAUGUUAGUAAUGAAUGAAAUGAGAAGUUCAAUUGUGUUUUA